CCCUUAGAUGUUCUGGGCCGCACGCGCGCUACACUGAUGCAUUCAACAAGCCUAGCCUUGACCGAGAGGUCCGGGUAAUCUUUGAAACUGCAUCAUGAUGGGGCUAGAUUAUUGCAAUUAUUAAUCUUCAACGAGGAAUGCCUAGUAAGCGUGAUUCAUCAAAUCGCGUUGAUUACGUCCCUGCCCUUUGUACACACCGCCCGUCGCUCCUACCGAUUGAAUGUGUUGGUGAGGAGCUCGGAUUGGCAGCAGUUGGUGGUUCGCCACCGGCUAUUGCUGAGAAGUCCUCCAAACCGCCCCAUUUAGAGGAAGGAGAAGUCGUAACA
rnacentral:rRNA from 1 species